rnacentral:tRNA from 1 species
ACCCCACUCGUCCACAGGCCUAGGACACCGCGCUUUCACGGCGGUAACAGGGGUUCGAAUCCCCUAUGGGAUACCA